UCACUUCCUUGUCCUCAAAACAAUUGGUAAUCACAAGUUCCAACCCCACAGGAUCCGCUGGUGCAAUCACAUGGGAUUUUAUGCUCCAAGGAUUUCCUGUCACACCAUCCUUGCGCAUUGGAGUAUAAACAAGUUCAAUGCAUUUUCCAACAUCCUCUAAAGUCAAAUCCAGAAACUCAUUAGCGCUUAGUUUGUCCCUAACGCCAUCACUUCUCACUCUAAACCAUUCAUGGAAACAAUUUCCUCUCUCCCCUCCACUGUAAGAAGCAACAAAGCUUAGACGUUGUCCUUCCAUCAUUGACCCUAGAAACUCUAAGGACUGACAAGUUGGAGGGCCAGGUAUGAUAGGUCCAAUUUGUUCAGAAACAACAAUAGGACCACGAGCCCAAUCACUUCUGACAGGCUCACAUGAGACCGAAAUAAG
rnacentral:misc_RNA from 1 species